CAAGUCGAACGAUGGACCUUAGCUUGCUAGGGGGAUUAGUGGCGAACGGGUGAGUAAUAUAUCGGAACGUACCUUGUAAUGGGGGAUAACUAGUCGAAAGAUUAGCUAAUACCGCAUACGCCCUGAGGGGGAAAGUAGGGGAUCUUCGGACCUUACGUUAUAAGAGCGGCCGAUAUCUGAUUAGCUAGUUGGUGGGGUAAUGGCCUACCAAGGCGACGAUCAGUAGCUGGUCUGAGAGGACGACCAGCCACACUGGAACUGAGACACGGUCCAGACUCCUACGGGAGGCAGCAGUGGGGAAUUUUGGACAAUGGGCGAAAGCCUGAUCCAGCCAUUCCGCGUGAGUGAAGAAGGCCUUCGGGUUGUAAAGCUCUUUCGCAAGGGAAGAAAACUUACAUUCUAAUAAAGUGUGAGGCUGACGGUACCUUGAUAAGAAGCACCGGCUAACUACGUGCCAGCAGCCGCGGUAAUACGUAGGGUGCGAGCGUUAAUCGGAAUUACUGGGCGUAAAGCGUGCGCAGGCGGUUUUGUAAGUCAGAUGUGAAAUCCCCGAGCUCAACUUGGGAACUGCGUUUGAAACUACAAGACUAGAAUAUGUCAGAGGGGGGUAGAAUUCCACGUGUAGCAGUGAAAUGCGUAGAGAUGUGGAGGAAUACCAAUGGCGAAGGCAGCCCCCUGGGAUAAUAUUGACGCUCAUGCACGAAAGCGUGGGGAGCAAACAGGAUUAGAUACCCUGGUAGUCCACGCCCUAAACGAUGUCUACUAGUUGUUGGUGGAGUAAAAUCCAUGAGUAACGCAGCUAACGCGUGAAGUAGACCGCCUGGGGAGUACGGUCGCAAGGUUAAAACUCAAAGGAAUUGACGG
rnacentral:rRNA from 1 species